CUAUGCGCCUUGCCAGCCCGCUCAGGUGUGCCAGCCGCCGCGGUAAUACAGAGGUCUCAAGCGUUGUUCGGAAUCACUGGGCGUAAAGCGUGCGUAGGCGGUUUCGUAAGUCGUGUGUGAAAGGCGGGGGCUCAACCCCCCGGACUGCACAUGAUACUGCGAGACUAGAGUAAUGGAGGGGAACCGGAAUUCUCGGUGUAGCAGUGAAAUGCGUAGAUAUCGAGAGGAACACUCGUGGCGAAGGCGGGUUCCUGGACAUUAACUGACGCUGAGGCACGAAGGCCAGGGAGCGAAAGGG
rnacentral:rRNA from 1 species